UUCAUUAGAAUUCUUUAUGGGAGGAUAAGUUAGCAAAAGUUAAUCCUAUUUUUUUGUGUGUUUUGGCCUUCUUCAGGAAAUUUUUUACAGGCCCAAUUUUGUGAAAUAUGGAUUUUGUACAAAUUAUAAUGGGAUGAAAACCGGGGUCCAGAUAGGAUUUUAAUUGGACCUGUUUUAUCAACGGAAAUUAAAUUGCAUAUUAGAUGAACUGCCAUCAACAGGGAAAGGAAGCAUUCCCAAUCUAAGGGUGUUUUUAUGUAUCAUACUUUUUUCUGAGCUUGGUCUCUAGAUUCGUCUAUGACCAUUGUUAGCUAAAUUGCAGAUCAAGACACUAAAUACUUUGGAAAUUUUCACCCAGAUUACAUUCCUGAUUUUCCCUUCUCAUUCUCUCCUGAAAGUGGUUAUGGCAGAAGGAGAUUGGAUAUGGCCUCUUGUUUCCAGUUUUUUCUCUUUCUUGUUGCUACUUCUUGUCUUAGAGAAAAUGAUUUUAUAUUUUUUUGUUUUUAUUUUUACUUUUAUUUUUGUCUUUUCUCUUUCUCUCUGGCUUGGAGGGGAGCGUGGAGAGCACUAAUCCCUACCCUUCCUUCUCUCUUUCUGGGAGCUCUUUUCCUCUUUCUGAGAGCUGAGAGGUUAAGAGACUCAAGUUCUUUCUAACUAACCAGGAGUUCCAAGCAAGAAUGGACUGACAGGAUCCUGAAAAGCCUUCACAGCUUGUUUCCCCAUUCUGGCAAUUUUUCAUCCUCAAAGACAUGAGACAUGGGACACAAUAAUUCCCUUUCCACAUCAGAUGAAAAGGCUCCAUGGAAGAGGGCAGAAUCCAGCUGAAAUCUGACUUGUCCGGGUGAAAACCAGAGGCUACUUCUGAGAUGGCAACAUGAUUAUCCCCAAUAAACUUAAGCAUCCUGAAAUAUUCUACCUUCCUAUCCCCUCUUCUUAAACCUAAAGGUUAUAAAAAUUAAUCAAAUGGAAAGGUUACACUCAUGACCAGCAGGAUGAAUACAGAGAGGACUGGCGAGACUUACAUGAACUGAUGCUAAGUGAAAUGAGCAGAACCAGGAGAUCAUUAUACACUUCGACAACGAUAUUGUAUGAGGACAUAUUUUGAUGGAAGUGGAUUUCUUUGACAAAGAGACCUGAGUUUCAAUUGAUAAAUGAUGGACAAAAGCAGCUACACCCAAAGAAAGAACACUGGGAAACGAAUGUGAACUAUCUGCAUUUUUGUUUUUCUUCCCGGAUUAUUUAUACCUUCUGAAUCUAACUCUCCCUAUGCAACAAGAGAACUGUUCGGUUCUGCAAACAUAUAUUGUAUCUAGGAUAUACUGCAACAUAUCCAACAUAUAAAGGACUGCUUGCCAUCUAGGGGAGGGGGUGGAGGGAGGGAGGGAGGGAAAAAAAAUCGGAACA